AUGAGACAUGAUGAUGUUUAUCCAUCAUUUCUGCAUUUGAAUGAUGAAUACCAACAUGCACUACCAUCUGAUCUCUU
rfam:Gossypium arboreum cultivar AKA8401 contig_20508_1, whole genome shotgun sequence.